rnacentral:lncRNA from 1 species
UCCACAGCUGCACUAGCUAUUAUCAAGUUGCUCAACAGCCACAUCAACUAGUAGCUUCAUACUAGGCAGCAAAAAAAUAGAUGGCCUCCAUCAGUGCAGAAGUUCUAUUGGAUAGUGAUGUGGGGUCAAAAACACAGUGCUUGCAGUGUUUUGGCUCAGCAUUUCUCCAACUUAAAUGUGCAUAGCAUUCACCUGGGGAUGCCGUUAAACCGCUGAUUCUGAUACAGAAGGUAGGGGUGCGGGGGUGAAGGUGAUGACAUUUUACAAUACUAAUAAACUCUGAACAAUGGGACUGCUGCUGGUCAGAGGACCACUCCAUGUCCCGAGCAUGGAGUAUCAAGCUCAUCAUUGUUUUUCCCUUCUCUGAACUUCUACUAGAGUUAAUACCAUAUGGUUUAAGGCCCUAAUAGUUUGAUGUGUAUCUUUUUUGUCUUCUCAAUUAGAUUUUAAGCUCAUUAAGACACAGAACCACAUAUUAUUGCUCUUCACAUCCCUGAUUAUGGACUACACAGUGUAGGGAUACAAGGGAAGUAACUUUUCCUAUCUUUAAGUGCAUUACAUAUGAUGCAAUUUGCUGCAAAUUGCUGCAAUGUGACACAUAAAUACAGUUUCUUAUUUCUUUUUUAAAGACAUUAGGUCUUUUAUCUAACCAUUUAUUGCCUUAGAUUUCCCAAAAGUUAGAGAAUAGUAGCUAUGCUAUCUCAACCUUAAGAAAAAACAUGGGAAGUAAUUCUGUUUAGUGACUUUAAAAUGAUUUUUAAAUUUUAAUAUAGCAUACAUCAAAUAAUUUAAGAACUAGCUGAAAAAUAUAAUGUAAUUUGAUAGCUGAAGGAAUGCUGAAUAGUCUCCUGAAAGGACAAAAACUUGAAUGUCAAAGUUCUGUCUUGAAGUUAGAAAAUGAUUAAAAUAUUCACAAAAGUAAUACAGUCUGGCCAGGCACAGUGGCUCACGCCUGUAAUCUCAGCACUUUGGGAGGCCGAGGCAGGCGGAUCACAAGGUCAGGAGAUGGAGACCAUCCUGCUAACACGGUGAAACCCCGUCUCUACUAAAAAAUACAAAAAAUUAGCCGGGUGUGGUGGCGGGCAUCUGUAGUCCCAGCCACUCGGGAGGCUGAAGCAGGAGAAUGGCAUGAACCUGGGAGGUGGAGCUUGCAGUGAGCUGAGAUCGUGCCACUGCACUUCAGCCUGGGUGACAGAGCGAGAGGA